rnacentral:tRNA from 3 species
GGGCUGGUGGUCUAGUGGUAUGGCGCCUGUCUGGCAGGCAGGAAACUGCGGGUUCAAUUCCCGCCCAGUCCA